rnacentral:rRNA from 1 species
CUUGGUCAUUUAGAGGAAGUAAAAGUCGUAACAAGGUCUCCGUAGGUGAACCUGCGGAGGGAUCAUUACCAGAGAUGGCGGGCCCCCGCGCCCCCCGUCCCCAACCCUUUGUUGACCUAAACCAUUUUGCCUCGGGGGCAGAGCGUCCGCCGCCGCCCCCGGAGGAACCACCGAACGCUGUCUCUGUACGUCGGAGUAUUGAUUAAAUGAAUGAAAACUUUCAACAACGGAUCUCUUGGUUCUGGCAUCGAUGAAGAACGCAGCGAAAUGCGAUAAGUAAUGUGAAUUGCAGAAUUCAGUGAAUCAUCGAAUCUUUGAACGCACAUUGCGCCCCUUGGCAUUCCGAGGGGCAUGCCCGUUCGAGCGUCAUUAAAUCCAAUCAAGCCUGGCUUGGUAUUGGGCGUCGGGGUCCCCCGCGCCUCAAUUUCACCGGCUGGCCGUCGCCCGUCUUAGCGUUGUGACACACUUCUCGCUACCGAUGGGACCGGACCACGCCGUCAAAACCCUACGAAUUUCAAUCGAAAUUCGAUUAAGGUUGACCUCGGAUCGGGUAGGAAUACCCGCUGAACUUAAGCAUAUCAAUAAGCGGAGGAA